rnacentral:rRNA from 1 species
UACGUAGGGUGCAAGCGUUGUCCGGAAUUAUUGGGCGUAAAGAGCUCGUAGGCGGCUAGUCGCGUCGGCUGUGAAAACCUGGGGCUCAACCCCGGGCCUGCAGCCGAUACGGGCUAGCUAGAAUUCGGUAGGGGAGACUGGAAUUCCUGGUGUAGCGGUGAAAUGCGCAGAUAUCAGGAGGGACACCGGUGGCGAAGGCGGGUCUCUGGGCCGAUAUUGACGCUGAGGAGCGAAAGCGUGGGGAGCGAACAGG